UGCCAUCCUUGGAGUUUUUCUCGACGUGCUAGAUUGCGCGUUGAACCGAUGAGUUUUUCUCCUACGAUUGUAUUGUGCAUAUCCCAUCAGCCGUAUCUUCCCAUCUUGCACCGUUUCCUCUCGUGUCUGAAUCUUGUACAUCACGCUGGUCGUUGCAUGCUACUCGCUUCCUAUCAGAAUAUGUCACGAACUUAUCUUCAACCAAGAGGGUAUCCAUCUGCUACCUACCAGCAGGUUUCGGCAUUCUCCC
rnacentral:lncRNA from 1 species